AGAGUUUGAUCCUGGCUCAGAUUGAACGCUGGCGGCAGGCCUAACACAUGCAAGUCGAACGGUAGCACAGAGAGCUUGCUCUCGGGUGACGAGUGGCGGACGGGUGAGUAAUGUCUGGGAAACUGCCUGAUGGAGGGGGAUAACUACUGGAAACGGUAGCUAAUACCGCAUAACGUCGCAAGACCAAAGAGGGGGACCUUCGGGCCUCUUGCCAUCAGAUGUGCCCAGAUGGGAUUAGCUAGUAGGUGGGGUAACGGCUCACCUAGGCGACGAUCCCUAGCUGGUCUGAGAGGAUGACCAGCCACACUGGAACUGAGACACGGUCCAGACUCCUACGGGAGGCAGCAGUGGGGAAUAUUGCACAAUGGGCGCAAGCCUGAUGCAGCCAUGCCGCGUGUAUGAAGAAGGCCUUCGGGUUGUAAAGUACUUUCAGCGGGGAGGAAGGUGU
rnacentral:rRNA from 1 species